GACUCCCUAUAGGGGGAAUUUGGGCCGACGUCGCAUGCUCCCCGGCCGCCAUGGCGGCCGCGGGAAAUUCGAUUAGAGUUUGAUCAUGGCUCAGAUUGAACGCUGGCGGCAGGCUUAACACAUGCAAGUCGAGCGGUAACAUUUCUAGCUUGCUAGAAGAUGACGAGCGGCGGACGGGUGAGUAACACUUAGGAAUCUACCUAGUAGUGGGGGAUAGCUCGGGGAAACUCGAAUUAAUACCGCAUACGACCUACGGGAGAAAGGGGGCAACUUGUUGCUCUCGCUAUUAGAUGAGCCUAAGUCGGAUUAGCUAGUUGGUGGGGUAAAGGCCUACCAAGGCGACGAUCUGUAGCUGGUCUGAGAGGAUGAUCAGCCACACCGGGACUGAGACACGGCCCGGACUCCUACGGGAGGCAGCAGUGGGGAAUAUUGGACAAUGGGGGCAACCCUGAUCCAGCCAUGCCGCGUGUGUGAAGAAGGCCUUUUGGUUGUAAAGCACUUUAAGCAGUGAAGAAGACCUAACGGUUAAUACCCGUUAGCGAUGACAUUAGCUGCAGAAUAAGCACCGGCUAACUCUGUGCCAGCAGCCGCGGUAAUACAGAGGGUGCAAGCGUUAAUCGGAAUUACUGGGCGUAAAGCGAGCGUAGGUGGCUUGAUAAGUCAGAUGUGAAAUCCCCGGGCUUAACCUGGGAACUGCAUCUGAUACUGUUAGGCUAGAAUAGGUGAGAGGAAGGUAGAAUUCCAGGUGUAGCGGUGAAAUGCGUAGAGAUCUGGAGGAAUACCGAUGGCGAAGGCAGCCUUCUGGCAUCAUAUUGACACUGAGGUUCGAAAGCGUGGGUAGCAAACAGGAUUAGAUACCCUGGUAGUCCACGCCGUAAACGAUGUCUACUAGUCGUUGGGUCCCUUGAGGACUUAGUGACGCAGCUAACGCAAUAAGUAG
rnacentral:rRNA from 1 species